rnacentral:rRNA from 1 species
GCGAAGAACCUUACCUAGGCUUGACAUCCCACUGACCGUUCUGGAAACAGAAUUUUUCCUUCGGGAACAGUGGUGACAGGUGGUGCAUGGUUGUCGUCAGCUCGUGUCGUGAGAUGUUUGGUUAAGUCCAAUAACGAGCGUAACCCUUAUCUUUAAUUGCUAACAUUUAGUUGAGAACCUUAAAGAGACUGCCGGUGAUAAACCGGAGGAAGGUGGGGAUGACGUCAAAUCAUCAUGCCCCUUACGUCUAGGGCUACAGGCGUGCUACAAUGGCCGAUACAAAAAGACGCAAAGUUGUGAAACCUAGCAAAUCUUUAAAGUCGGUCCCAGUCCGGACUGAAGUCUGCAACUCGACUUCACGAAGUUGGAAUCGCUAGUAAUCCCAAAUCAGAAUGUUGGGGUGAAUACGUUCCCGGGUGUUGUACACACCGCCCGUCAAGGCAUGGGAGUCGAUAAUACCCGAAGUCGUUAGCCUAACCAGUAAUGGAGGGGGACGCCGAAGGUAGGAUCGGUGACUGGGCUU